CAUUGCUAGCCCGUCGUAACGAGCACUUUGCAACAAGGCGUGACAAGAAACAGACUGCCUUGAUAGAAGAAAGUCCAGCUGAGAGUGCGGAAGACGUCAAAGGUUUGGAACCUCCAACACAAUCAGUCGUCAUUAACAAUGAAAAUACCCCUCCGGCCCCUCAAACUGACAACACUACCACGCCUCCAACACAGCCACCAGUUAACGAUGAUGGUGAUGAUGAUGGCGUCAUAUUCGAGGAGGACUCCGAACAUGAGGAGGGCUACAUGUUCGGUGGUCAAG